UACGUAGGGUGCGAGCGUUAAUCGGAAUUACUGGGCGUAAAGCGUGCGCAGGCGGUUCGUUGUGUCGGCGGUGAAAGCCCCGGGCUUAACCUGGGAAUGGCCGUCGAAACUGGCGAACUGGAGUGUGGCAGAGGGGGUGGAAUUCCGCGUGUAGCAGUGAAAUGCGUAGAGAUGCGGAGGAACACCGAUGGCGAAGGCAGCCCCUGGGUCAAUACUGACGCUCAUGCACGAAAGCGUGGGAGCAAACAGG
rnacentral:rRNA from 1 species